AUUGAACGCUGGCGGCAGGCCUAACACAUGCAAGUCGAGCGGAUGAAGGGAGCUUGCUCCUGGAUUCAGCGGCGGACGGGUGAGUAAUGCCUAGGAAUCUGCCUGGUAGUGGGGAUAACGUCCGGAAACGGGCGCUAAUACCGCAUACGUCCUGAGGGAGAAAGUGGGGGAUCUUCGGACCUCACGCUAUCAGAUGAGCCUAGGUCGGAUUAGCUAGUUGGUGGGGUAAAGGCCUACCAAGGCGACGAUCCGUAACUGGUCUGAGAGGAUGAUCAGUCACACUGGAACUGAGACACGGUCCAGACUCCUACGGGAGGCAGCAGUGGGGAAUAUUGGACAAUGGGCGAAAGCCUGAUCCAGCCAUGCCGCGUGUGUGAAGAAGGUCUUCGGAUUGUAAAGCACUUUAAGUUGGGAGGAAGGGCAGUAAGUUAAUACCUUGCUGUUUUGACGUUACCAACAGAAUAAGCACCGGCUAACUUCGUGC
rnacentral:rRNA from 1 species